rnacentral:rRNA from 1 species
GAUUCUGGCUCAGAGCGAACGCUGGCGGCAGGCUAACACAUGCAAGUCGAGCGCCUGUAGCAAUACAGGAGCGGCAGACGGGAGAGUAACACGUGGGAAUAUGCCCUUCGGUUCGGAAUAACUCAGGGAAACUUGAGCUAAUACCGGAUACGCCCUUACGGGGAAAGAUUUAUUGCCGAAGGAUUAGCCCGCGUCCGAUUAGCUAGUUGGUGAGGUAAUGGCUCACCAAGGCGACGAUCGGUAGCUGGUCUGAGAGGAUGAUCAGCCUCAUUGGGACUGAGACACGGCCCAAACUCCUACGGGAGGCAGCAGUGGGGAAUAUUGGACAAUGGGCGCAAGCCUGAUCCAGCCAUGCCGCGUGGGUGAUGAAGGCCCUAGGGUUGUAAAGCCCUUUCGGCGGGGAAGAUAAUGACGGUACCCGCAGAAGAAGCCCCGGCUAACUUCGUGCCAGCCGCAGC